GAUAUGUAAUCCUGAUCGAAGAGUCCCAAACCAAUGGGACUCUUGACCCCGGUACCCAAAAUAUGUGGGACUCAUGAUCGGAGAAUCCUGAUUCUCGAUCACAGAGUCCCAGACACGUAGGACUCAUAGUCCACAAGCAUUAGGACUCUUCAUCAGCCAUCAGAUCAGAUAGAAACCUCUAAUGUGUGUGACCCCGCAGGUUCGAAUCUAAGCCGGUAGCACAGGAACCAAUUUCUGUACUAAUCGAAGUGACCAUCUAGCAAUGGUACCCGAUGAUCGAAUAGAUCGAAUAGUUGCAAUCGCAACACUCAGAACCUACGUGAAUAUGGUUACUGUAUAAUUCAUCUUUUUGACCUC
rnacentral:lncRNA from 1 species